rnacentral:lncRNA from 1 species
AUAAUCUCUAGUUCAUUUUAAUCCUAACUUCAAUAGCUCUUCACUGAAUAUAAUUUUAUUUCAUUGUGAACAUGAAAUAGAAGGAGCUUCAGGCUGGAGAAAGUCGUGGGACACCUACUGAUGAUGUCGUAGCCCAGAAUUCUAGGAGACUAUAUAUACCAAGACGAAAGAAGGAAGGAUCACCUCAUACCCUAAAAGAACACUGAGAAGUCAGAGGAAGAAGACAACUAACUUUGAAGAAGAGAAAUAAACAUCUCAGAGAGAAUUACA